rnacentral:lncRNA from 1 species
CUGACGCUGUAAAUUUGAAGUCUAUAUUAGCACUGGAUCCACGGAAACUAAUGUAAUUGGAGAGGGAGGAGAAGGAGAAAAUAAUUCAGAAAUACAGAGGAGCUAGGCAAGGAGCGGUGAUAGAUUGCUCCAGAAAGGCGAAAGAAUCAUCUGAAAGGAAUGUGGAGAUCAGAGAAAAAUGAUGGGAAAGUUACCACAGCCUGCAAAUGAGAAAUGAUGAGAGCCUGCCUGGGGUAAGGCAGUUGUGUGGGACGGAAAGGAAGCACUAGAUGAGGCAGAUGCUUAGGUGGAGCAAGAACAGGGCAGGAGAAGCAAGUAAAGGAGGGGACUGAGGGACGAAAGGGGCCUAGAGCUCUGGAGGGCUUUAGUGGGGCCAUCAUUGCAGGAAGGGGAUCAGGAAUAGAUUUGAGUCCAGAUAAGACAAUUAGGUUAUUUUUGAAUAUAUCAAGCAUGUAGUACUGGAGAUAUUCACUGUGCACAGAAGUUUGUUGUUCUGGAGAGCUGUCAUCCUGGAGUCUUGGAUUUGGGCAGGUGGUGGGUGUGGUCAGCUAAGGAUCGAAUGGGGCGGACAUAUGGGGAGCUGGAGCCAAGACCCAGGAUUAUCAAUACUUAAUAGACAUUUUAAUAAAUAGCCAUAAGCACAUUUCUAUUAAAUUAAUUCCUUUUUUCUUUCUUCUUCAUGUUGCAAUAUGACCUGUUUGAGAGAAUAUUGAGCUGAACUCCUUGGGCAUGAAUUGGGAUCUGUUUCUGG